UACGUAGGGUGCAAGCGUUGUCCGGAAUUACUGGGCGUAAAGCGUGCGUAGGUGGUUUGUUAAGUCUGUUGUGAAAGCCCCGGGCUCAACCUGGGAAUGGCAAUGGAUACUGGCAGGCUAGAGUGCGGUAGAGGGUAGUGGAAUUCCCGGUGUAGCGGUGAAAUGCGUAGAGAUCGGGAGGAACACCAGUGGCGAAGGCGGCUACCUGGACCAGCACUGACACUGAGGCACGAAAGCGUGGGGAGCAAACAGG
rnacentral:rRNA from 1 species